GAUGAACGCUAGCUACAGGCUUAACACAUGCAAGUCGAGGGGCAGCAUGGGAUUAGCCUGCUAAUCCUGAUGGCGACCGGCGCACGGGCGCGUAACGCGUAUCCAACCUGCCCUCCACUCCGGAACAGCCCGUCGAAAGGCGGAUUAAUGCCGGAUGGUGUCACAUGCCCGCAUGAGUGUGUGACUAAAGGCAACGGUAGAGGAUGGGGAUGCGACUGAUUAGCUAGUUGGCGGGGUAACGGCCCACCAAGGCUACGAUCAGUAGGGGUUCUGAGAGGAAGGUCCCCCACAUUGGAACUGAGACACGGUCCAAACUCCUACGGGAGGCAGCAGUGAGGAAUAUUGGUCAAUGGGCGAGAGCCUGAACCAGCCAAGUAGCGUGCGGGACGACGGCCCUAUGGGUUGUAAACCGCUUUUGAUUGGGAACAAAGAGGGCCACGUGUGGUGCGUUGCGUGUACCUUUCGAAUAAGCAUCGGCUAAUUCCGUGCCAGCAGCCGCGGUAAUACGGAAGAUGCGAGCGUUAUCCGGAUUUAUUGGGUUUAAAGGGAGCGUAGGCGGGCUGUUAAGUCAGCGGUGAAAUCCCCGCGCUCAACGCGGGAGUUGCCGUUGAUACUGUACAUCUGGAAUGCUCUUGCCGUGGGAGGAAUGAGUAGUGUAGCGGUGAAAUGCAUAGAUAUUACUCAGAACACCGAUUGCGAAGGCAUCUCACGAAGGGGCGAUUGACGCUGAGGCACGAAAGCGUGGGUAUCGAACAGG
rnacentral:rRNA from 1 species